CUUCUGCAGAAGUUUAAGAAUCAUUUUCCCAUGAACCUGUGAUGACAUCAAAGGAAAGCACUCAGUAUCGCUCUUUCAUGUCAUGAAGAGGACUGUUGUGUUUGGAGUCAUUUGCUAUGCACGUCAUGUGGAUACAGCAACAGGAACGCAAACAGAACCAACAGGAUCUCUAUGGACUCUUUCCCUCUGUCCACGAAAUCACCGUUGAAAACAUAUGGUGUCUCUGCUGAGGGAAAACCAUUCUAGUAUAGAACAGAAGUCAGUUACUGGCAUAUUCUAAUUCAGUGAACUGUGGAUAACAGAAUUUUACUGACUUUGUAAAAGAUCAACAGCAGAUCCUCAAGAUGACCAUGUGCACACGUGACUGAUGUUGGGCAUCAAGCGCAGGAGCGUCCACGUCUUACCCAGCAGCUGGAGCACGUACCGCGCAUG